ACUUCCUUAACUCAGUGGUAGAGUACCUCACUUUUAAUGAGGGAGUCAUGGGUUCAAAUCCCAUAGGGAGUA
rnacentral:tRNA from 1 species